UACGUAGGGGGCAAGCGUUGUCCGGAUUUAUUGGGCGUAAAGGGCGUGUAGGCGGUCAGGUAAGUGAGAUGUGAAAUGCCCCGGCUCACCCGGGGACCGGCAUCUCAUACUGCUUGGCUUGAGUACGGGAGAGGAUGUGGGAAUUCCUGGUGUAGCGGUGAAAUGCGUAGAUAUCAGGAGGAACACCGGUGGCGAAGGCGCACAUCUGGCCCGAUACUGACGCUGAGGCGCGAAAGCUAGGGGAGCAAACGGG
rnacentral:rRNA from 1 species